AGAUACCCAAUCUUAUCUCCCUGAAGUUGCUGUGAAGCAGAUUGAAGCUACUAAUCAUAUCUCCUUGAAGUUGCAGUGGAGCAGAUUAAAACGAUGAAUCCUAUACCUCUAACGUUGCAUGGCAGUGAAGUAGGUUAAAGCAACAAGUCUUAUCUCCCUGACGUUGUAGUGGAGCAAACUAAAACUACGAAUCCCGUCCCCCAUGAAGUUACAGCAGAGUGGAUUGAAGCUACAAGCCGUAUCUCUCUAAAGUGCAGUGGAGUGAAUCGCAGCAACAAGACGCAAUGGAUUGGAGCAGCACCAAGAAGUCAAGACUCGACGAGACCGGGCAAAUUUAGCCUUUCUUAAAAGUCUUUGCUUCAUUCUCGUUGCACUACAAUGAGCAAAGAGGGACAGCUGUAAAGCCCAAAAUCUGCCCGGGCCCAAAAUAAAAC
rnacentral:lncRNA from 1 species